rnacentral:rRNA from 1 species
UUUAUGGAGAGUUUGAUCCUGGCUCAGGAUGAACGCUGGCGGCGUGCCUAAUACAUGCAAGUCGAGCGAACGGAUGAGAAGCUUGCUUCUCUGAUGUUAGCGGCGGACGGGUGAGUAACACGUGGAUAACCUACCUAUAAGACUGGGAUAACUUCGGGAAACCGAAGCUAAUACCGGAUAAUAUUUUGAACCGCAUGGUUCAAAAGUGAAAGACGGUCUUGCUGUCACUUAUAGAUGGAUCCGCGCUGCAUUAGCUAGUUGGU